CAGUAGCCGCGGUAAUACAGAGGAUGCAAGCGUUAUCCGGAAUGAUUGGGCGUAAAGCGUCUAUAGGUGGCUUUUCAAGUCCGCCGUCAAAUCCCAGGGCUCAACCCUGGACAGGCGGUGGAAACUACCAAGCUUGAGUACGGUAGGGACAGAGGGAAUUUCCGGUGGAGCGGUGAAAUGCGUUGAGAUCGGAAAGAACACAACGGCGAAAGCACUCUGCUGGGCCGACACUGACACUGAGAGACGAAAGCUAGGGGAGCAAAUGGGAUUAGAUACCCCCGUAGUCCCUGUCUCUUAUACA
rnacentral:rRNA from 1 species